GAUGAACGCUAGCGGCAGGCUUAAUACAUGCAAGUCGUGGGGCAGCGCGUUGUAGCAAUAUAAUGGCGGCGACCGGCAAACGGGUGCGUAACACGUACGCAACUUUCCUUCGAGCGGGGAAUAGCCCAGAGAAAUUUGGAUUAAUACCCCAUAAAAUUUUGAGAUGGCAUCAUCUUAUUAUUAAAGCUUCGGCACUUGAAGAUGGGCGUGCGGCUGAUUAGGUAGUUGGCGGGGUAACGGCCCACCAAGCCUUCGAUCAGUAGCUGAUGUGAGAGCAUGAUCAGCCACACGGGCACUGAGACACGGGCCCGACUCCUACGGGAGGCAGCAGUAAGGAAUAUUGGUCAAUGGACGAAAGUCUGAACCAGCCAUGCCGCGUGGAGGAUGAAGGUCCUCUGGAUUGUAAACUUCUUUUAUCUGGGACGAAAACGGGCCUUUCCAGGCCAACUGACGGUACCAGAUGAAUAAGCACCGGCUAACUCCGUG
rnacentral:rRNA from 2 species